GCCUGGAUGGCUCUGUCGGUUGAGCAUCUGACUUCGGCUCAGGUCAUUGUCUUGUGGUUCGUGGGUUUGAGCCCCGCAUCGGGCU
rnacentral:tRNA from 1 species